GGAUGCGAUCAUACCAGCACUAAAGCAUCGGAUCCCAUCAGAACUCCGAAGUUAAGCGUUCUUGGGCGAGAGUAGUACUAGGAUGGGUGACCUCCUGGGAAGUCCUCGAGUUGCAUUCC
rnacentral:rRNA from 1 species